rnacentral:rRNA from 1 species
UACGAAGGGUGCUAGCGUUGUUCGGAAUCACUGGGCGUAAAGGGCGCGUAGGCGGCGCGACAAGUCAGGCGUGAAAGCCCCGGGCUCAACCCGGGAAUUGCGCUUGAUACUGUCGUGCUUGAGGCCGGGAGAGGAUGGCGGAAUUCCCAGUGUAGAGGUGAAAUUCGUAGAUAUUGGGAAGAACACCGGUGGCGAAGGCGGCCAUCUGGACCGGUUCUGACGCUGAGGCGCGAAAGCGUGGGGAGCAAACAGG